rnacentral:rRNA from 1 species
GACGAACGCUGGCGGCGUGCUUAACACAUGCAAGUCGAACGGAAAGGCCCUGCUUUUGUGGGGUGCUCGAGUGGCGAACGGGUGAGUAAAACGUGAGUAACCUGCCCUUGACUUUGGGAUAACUUCAGGAAACUGGGGCUAAUACCGGAUAGGAGCUCCUGCUGCAUGGUGGGGGUUGGAAAGUUUCGGCGGUUGGGGAUGGACUCGCGGCUUAUCCGCUUGUUGGUGGGGUAGUGGCUUACCAAGGGUGUGACGGGUAGCCGGCCUGGGAGCGUGACCGGCGACAUUGGUACUGAGGUACGGCCCAGACGCCUACGGGAGGCAGCAGUGGGGAACAUGGCGCAGUGGGCGGAAGUCUGAUGUAGCAACGCCGCGUGCGUGAUGACGGCCUUCGAGUUGUAAACCGCUUUCGCCGGUAACGAAGCGUGAGUGACGGUAAUUGGUAAAGAAGCACCGGCUAACUACGUG